rnacentral:ncRNA from 1 species
GUGGGAAGCGCACGGCCGCAAAUCCGACAUCGCUGUCCGCUCGGACGGCUUGGGAUUGCGGAAGUGC